GAUGAACGCUGACAGAAUGCUUAACACAUGCAAGUCUACUUGAACUUCGGUUUGGGUGGCGGACGGGUGAGUAACGCGUAAAGAACUUGCCUCACAGUUAGGGACAACAUUUGGAAACGAAUGCUAAUACCUGAUAUUAUGAUUUUAGGGCAUCCUAGAAUUAUGAAAGCUAUAUGCGCUGUGAGAGAGCUUUGCGUCCCAUUGGCUAGUUGGAGAGGUAACGGCUCACCAAGGCGAUGAUGGGUAGCCGGCCUGAGAGGGUGAACGGCCACAAGGGGACUGAGACACGGCCCUUACUCCUACGGGAGGCAGCAGUGGGGAAUAUUGGACGAUGGACCAAGAGUCUGAUCCAGCAAUUCUGUGUGCACGAUGAAGUUUUUCGGAAUGUAAAGUGCUUUCAGUUGGGAAGAAAAAAAUGACGAUACCAACAGAAGAAGUGACGGCUAAAUACGU
rnacentral:rRNA from 1 species